rnacentral:rRNA from 1 species
GACGAACGCUGGCGGCGUGCCUAAUACAUGCAAGUAGAACGCUGAAGGAGGAGCUUGCUUCUCUGGAUGAGUUGCGAACGGGUGAGUAACGCGUAGGUAACCUGCCUGGUAGCGGGGGAUAACUAUUGGAAACGAUAGCUAAUACCGCAUAAGAGUAGAUGUCGCAUGACAUUUGCUUAAAAGGUGCAAUUGCAUCACUACCAAAUGGACCUGCGUUGUAUUAGCUAGUUGGUGAGGUAACGGCUCACCAAGGCAACGAUACAUAGCCGACCUGAGAGGGGGAUCGGCCAACCUGGGACUGAGACACGGCCCAGACCCCCACGGGAGGCAGCAGUAGGGAAACUUCGGGAAUUGACGGAAGUCUGACCGGGCAACGCCGCGGGAGGGAAGAAGGUUUUCGGAUCGUAAAGCUCUGUUGUAAGAGAAGAACGAGUGUGGGAGUGGAAAGUUCACACUGUGACGGUAUCUUACCAGAAAGGGACGGCUAACUACGUG